GCCAUACGGUCUGACAAACAUGGCCGCCGUGGUGCUCUAAGAAAAAAACUGAACGCCGUGUUUUUUCAUUUGCAACUAAAACCACACGAGAACUCUUUAAGCGUGCCCGCAAAACGUAUAACAAUCUUUUUGUGUAUGUUUUCUGAAUAAGUAUCAUGCCAAAAUGAAAUGGUAAAGUGUUGCCGCGUUCGCAUAAUCGAUUACGAAUAAAUACAUAUAUACUCUAUACAUACAUAAAUACGUGCGCGAUUGUUGAUAGAAAAAAGAGAGCUAGAGCGAUAUCGAUAUCGAAGCGAUUCAGCCCGCGAUGGCGUCGCGCAGGCGCGCCGAUUUGAAUCCCAAACUGCACAUGGACAGGCAGCCGACAGCUGCCCGCAUAACAGAUCCCUCUCUGCCCGCCGGCAAGCGACGCGAGAUCGACAACGUCAUGAAGAAGGCUCGGGCCAACACAACCAACGACUACUGGGACAAGAAACUGAUCGAGGCCGAGGAGAAGGACCCCAAUCGCUGGCGUCAUACCGGCUACAAGAAAAUGUACAUCCAGGGCGAGAGCAGCUCCGGGGACAGUGAUCGCGAGCCGCACGGCGUGCCGCGCCCCGGGGAGGGAGCACCACCCCCCUAUGGCCGCUAUCCACCCGGAGGAGCCCCGCCAGGUCCACCGCCGCGCUUUGGCCGAUCCCGCUCGCCCCAUUCGCGCAGUCGUUCCGGAUUACGCAAGUCGCCGCCGCUGUCGCCACCACCGCGUCGUCGGUCUCCGCUGCCGCCCAUGCACGGCAUGGAUCGUCGCGGCGGCCCGCGAUCCCCUCCCAUGCCGCGCUCUCCCAACCAUGAUACCAUGAUGCGUCGUCCCGGCAAUGGCCACGGUCGGCCCCGUUCCCCACCCGAACCGAGCUCCGGCUCCUCGUCCUUGCGCCGCAAGCCAAACGCGUCGCGUUCUCCCUUGGGCCGUCGCCGCUCACCACCGUUGCCUCCUCCAUCGUCGGCGGGACUGGACAAGCGCAGUUCGGGACACAUUCUACCGCGUUCUAAGCGUCCCCCCUCGCCACCGCCAAGGCACUCGAUGCGUUCGCGUUCCAACAGCUCAAUGAGCAGCAGCUCCGACGAUUCCUGCUCCCUCUGUUCGCCCAGUCAUCGCCAUAGAUCUCGAUCCCGCGGUCCGCGCUCCCCUCCGCCAAAGCCGCGUGGGCAUUAUCGUGCCGGGGGUCCGCCACUCCCGCCGCCGGAUACACAUGGCCGCGUCCAUGGUCGUCCCAGCAGUCCACCGCCGGUGCGUGGAAGCGGCUCGGUGUCCGCAAUCGACAAGUAUCGGGACGCCAAAAUGCGUCACCUCGCACACGAACGCGGCGCCACGUCGGAGGCGCACAUGAAAGUCGCUCGCUCGUCGCGUCACUCACCGCCGCCGGAAGAUCCGCGUCUCAAGCACCGUCCGCCAGAGCCACCAGAGCCGGCAGCGACGGCUGCUGCGGCCUCAGCUCCACAGGCCAAGAAGAAGAAAAAGGAGAAGGAGCAGGUGAGGCCACGCAUCAAGAUCGAGGGUGAGAAACGUAAAAAACCAGCGGCGCCCAGUGGCAGUGGAGGGAAUGCAAACUCCUCGUCCGGUUCAGACGAUUCGUGUGACUCGGACAGCGAUGAGGUGCCGUCGGUGCCCACGUUUUCGGCCACAACGCGGCUAACGCUCUCGGAGCGCUUCGGGAAAAUGGCGCAAUGGAGCAUCGAUCGCAGUAACAUGGAGAAUAUGCGCAUCACCAAAGAUUCCGCGGGUGGUGCUCUUAAAGUGAUGAUUGAAGAGGGUCUCGAAUCGCCGCCGCGUCGCUAUUCGUAUUCGCCUGCGCCGGCCGGACACUUUCCGGAGGAGUUGGCGACCACAGCACCGUCGGGUAUGCUGUCGUGGGACGAUGUGCGCGUCCGUUACGAGUACUACAAGAGUCGUGGCUACUUAAGGGAUUUGGAUCUGAAGGACUACAUCAAAUGGGAGGAAUGGUGGUAUAAAUAUCAGGAGUGGCUGAAGCAGGAGCGCUACUAUGAGUACUGGGAUCGUAGCCAGCAAUUGCGACGACGGCGCAAGAAGUUACCGGUCACUCAGCGUCUCAACUGAGAAACGCCCCCGUGGGCAUCCGUACCGCAGUGUCCCAAUCCUGUAGCUCUUCCCAUCUUCCUCCCCCAAUUUGAUCACCCUCGCUAACCAAUUUAUCCAUUUAUCAUUUGAACUGAACCUUUAUUUUGCUUUCUCCCUUACUUUUAAUCUUACUUCAUUUUCCCCAAUCAAUCCCCCGCCUUUUUCCCCCUUUUUUGUACAUUGAAAAUGUACGGAAAUGCAUUUGUCAGCUCAUGUAUUUGAUAACUAAACAAUAUGCAUAUACCACGCGAUCCGAGCGCCAAUCGCGGAUGCUUAUAAGGAUUACAUUAACACUGAAGAUUGUUACACCGCACACUAAUCCAGGAGCAUGCUAAUUUCUGCUGGCUGGCGUUGGCGACAUUCGUCUCACUACCGGCACAGGUGGCCCAGUCACAGGUGGUUGAGUCACCUACGUUUUGGAAGCGGCUCGGCUAGUGAUUAUCUUAAGUACCAGCGGAAGUUGCGGGUACCAGAUCGCCUGUGUUGGCACUGGUCCACCAUUCCCCAUUGCAGAUAUAGCAGCUUUCAUUGCGUAAAUAAUAAUUAAAACUGUCAAGUAAAAAGUGGAAGUAGAAAGCCGUUUACUGCUUGUGUUAUCGGAAAUAUGGAAUUUAUCCUAUUUUUAUAUAAAUUAGACACCAGAUAUUGAAAAGAACAAUAUAAAUGAGAAAGGGGAGAGAAAACACACUUAAAACACUGGAGAGAAGGCAAAUAGUAAGGUGGCUGACUUUUGCAAGCUUAGAACACAAAUUUAGAGUUAAAAACACGAAAAAACGCCUUUAACACUUAUUUGUAUGUAAAAUAUAUGCACAUACUGAUAUUUAUCAUUAUUAGUUUAUCCGGCAUAACACAACUAUAUGUACAUUUGAAUAAAAAUACCUAUAUUCAAUUUUAUAUUAACCCAAAA